rnacentral:rRNA from 1 species
CCUACGGGUGGCAGCAGUGAGGAAUAUUGGUCAAUGGCCGGAAGGCUGAACCAGCCAUGCCGCGUGAAUGUCAGUGCCCUAUGGGCGUUAAACUUCUUUUGUGCGGGAGCAAUAAUGGUCACGUGUGGCCAGACGAGAGUACCGUACGAAUACGCAUCGGCUAACUCCGUGCCAGCAGCCGCGGUAAUACGGGGGAUGCAAGCGUUAUCCGGAUUUAUUGGGGUUAAAGGGUGCGUAGGCUGGGAGGUAAGUCAGCGGUGAAAUGCCCCCGCUCAACGGGGUGAAGUGCCAUUGAUACUGCGUAGCUGGAAUGCGGAUGCCGUGAGAGGAAUGUGUGGUGUAGCGGUGAAAUGCAUAGAUAUCACACAGAACACCGAUUGCGAAGGCAUCUCACGAAUCCGCGAUUGACGCUGAGGCACGAAAGCGUGGGUAUCAAACAGGAUUAGAUACCCCAGUAGUC